UGGCGGACGGGUGAGUAAUGUCUGGGAAACUGCCUGGUGGAGGGGGAUAACUACUGGAAACGGUAGCUAAUACCGCAUAACGUCGCAAGACCAAAGAGGGGGACCUUAGGGCCUCUUGCCAUCGGAUGUGCCCAGAUGGGAUUAGCUAGUAGGUGGGGUAAAGGCUCACCUAGGCGACGAUCCCUAGCUGGUCUGAGAGGAUGACCAGCCACACUGGAACUGAGACACGGUCCAG
rnacentral:rRNA from 1 species